rnacentral:rRNA from 1 species
UACGUAGGGUGCAAGCGUUGUCCGGAAUUAUUGGGCGUAAAGAGCUCGUAGGCGGUCUGUUGCGUCGGCUGUGAAAACCCGGGGCUCAACUCCGGGCCUGCAGCCGAUACGGGCAGACUAGAGUUCGGCAGGGGAGACUGGAAUUCCUGGUGUAGCGGUGAAAUGCGCAGAUAUCAGGAGGAACACCGGUGGCGAAGGCGGCUUUCUGGGACGGUACUGACGCUGAGACGCGAAAGCGUGGGGAGCGAACAGG